UUUAUUUCCAAACCUCAGAAAGAUACUGUUGAGCAGCAAACAGCAUAAAACCCGAACAUACUUCAAUUUCUUGCAGGCUUUCCUGGUUUAAUGCUGGUUGCAUAUAGUCAUUUUCACUUUACUUCUGAGUGGGGAAGGGUUAAAGGCAAUUGAAGACAAUAUAGAGAUUACGAGAUCUGCGACUGAAGUUUAUGACAUUGCUGAUGCUUAUAGUGCUCUCCAUCAGUAUAACCAUCACAGUAUUAAAGUUUGGGAGAGCUGCGUUGCAGGACAAUUUUGUAGCAGAGUUGUCUUCCCAUUACAAGAACUCAGCCGAGUUUGUCGCAUUUUAUGGUCUCCUUAACAUUUACAUGUUCACCAUGGCGUUUGUGUAUUCACCGACGAAUAAUGCAGUGUUUGAAACUCACUUCAAAGACAAUCCGGGCUUGUCCAUGAUGAAUGAUUCUGACGAGGAGGUGCAUUAUGGCUCGGAAACAGAAAGCGUAGGUAUGACCAGGGUUCGGCCGGCUGCGGUCGGUAAAUAUGACAGCGACUGAGACGACAGCCCACGAUUACAUUGUAGCCAUAACCACACUUCUGCUGGAGGAAACACAUUGGAACCAUGAUCUGGGAAAACAGGGUUUAAUGCAUGUGCGUAAAAUGUCCUCCCAGAUUAGCCUGUGCAGGCAGCACAGGCUUAUCAGGGACGACACUUUUCGCCUGAACUGGAUUUUCCCUAAGAAGAGACUUCCUUUAAACAGAAAUUACCAUAAAAGCGGAAAGUGUUGUCCCUGAUAAGCCUGUGUUGACUGCACAGGCUAAUCUUGGACGACACUUUAUGCACAUGCAUUAAACACCUUUUUUUAAAUGCAUGUGCGUUAAGUUUCGUCCCAGAUUAGGCACAUGUUUACUCGCAGGCUGUUCUGGUUUUAUGCUGGUUGCAAAAACCAUUUUCUAUUUGCUUCUUAUGGGGGGAAAGGGUUAAACUUUAUGAGUUAUUUUGAAUAAUUGAACAUAUUUCUAGAGGAACUUUAUAACACAAUUUCAUUAGAUUGUUAAAUUUGAAUUUGAAUAAAAUAAUUUUAUAAAACAUAUUAUUCAGAUUUUGUGUUUACAAUUCCAGCUACAUAUAUCGGUAUAUGAAAUGUGUUCAAGACACUGAUUACCAAUUCUGUAAGUGAUAAACAGAUAAGUUUCAGCGUACGCAAAAUGCUUUUUGUUUAAAUGACCACAUUGAAUCAGAGAUGUAGAUAACGUCUACGUCUCUGAUUGAAUUAUUAUUUAGGGAUAUAACUCAUUUGUUGUGUUGUAUAAAACACGCUUUAUUUCGUAAACCUGAGAAAAUUUUACAAUGAGUUCAGAUGUACCGGGUAUUUAUGUUUUUAUAUAAUUGAUUGUUUGAAAUCUAGAGUGCAAUACCCACCAAGCUUGGCUAUGUUUUUGUUAAGGAUUUUAUGUUGUGUUGAUUUUUUUUUAUUGAAAAAUAACAAAAAAAAUUUAAUUUGCAAAUCUUCCCGUUGAUUGUGUUUGGAUUAUUAUAAGCACUUUUUGUGCAUUUUGAUCAAAAUGUUGCAUCAUUAUCAUUAUAUCAUUAUAAUUUAAGGUGUGCUGAUCAAUACUAACAUAGUUGGUAUUUGCCCUGCACCUUUUCCAAAGCAUAUGUUUCCAAUGGCUUCUUGUACUAGGUUCUGCAGGCCCGCCUACAUUGUCUAAGCCUGCCUUGGAAAAGUGUUCGUAGGGUGAAUACUACCCAUUUAUGACUCAAAUAAUGUUAAAAUAGAAUAAAAAACUCGGUUUCUAAUAGCUUUUCCAACUGUAUUCAAGGUCUAAUACUGCAAUAUAACCUGAAAUACAUGAAAGAUAAAAAAAAACAACUUUUUAUUGAUAAAGCACUCGUAAGUGUAUUUCUUCUGUUUUGAUGCACAUGGAUUUAAUUUAUAUGCUUUAUUUGGAAGUGCAAAAGAAAGUAUAUGAAAUUUGCAUGGCAAAUCAAUCUUUGUUAUUUUAUUAUUAAAUGUUUAGUCUUAUAUACAAGAACAUAAUGUAACUUAUUGUUACAAGUUCGCUUCUAGCCAUUAUUGAGUUUUUGAUGUGUGAAAUGACAUGUAAUGUACACAAAGUGUGUUGCUUUUAAAAGUACCCUGCUUUUGUUAAACAAAUGAGCCACGCUCUAAGAAAAGGGGGUUAAAUGCAUGUGUGUAAAAUGUCUUCCCAGAUUAGCCUGUGCAGUCCACACAGGCUAAUCAGGGACAACACUUAUAUGUCUCCUUAGCAAAAAUGCAGUUUAGGUUAAAAGUUUAGUCCCUGAUUAGCCAGUGCGAAAUGCACAGGCUAAUCUGGAACGACACUUUAAGCACUUGCAUUAAACCCCCUUUUCACAGAGUGAGGCUCAAAUAUUUGUACUAUUGAGCCAAAAAUUGCUGUAUGAAUGUUUAUUUUUUAAACUGUUUAAUUUUUGAACUGUUUUAUUUUUUAACUGAAGUGUGUUUUAUUGAUUCUAUGAAAUGAGCAGUGAUAAUUUAUUAUUUAGGAAAUUUUGAACCAAUAACAUUUUUUAACAAAGCUCCAAAUGCUUUUCUUUCAUUUAAAUAGAAAAAAAAAUAAAUUGGUGUUAAAAAUAAUCUUUCUGUCAUGGUGGUUAUUAAAUGGUGUAAACAAAUUGAUAUAUUUCCCUAGUCAUUUUCUGAUUUUGUAUUUUCUUCUCAGAAGUGUUCAUUUAGUGCAAAAUUAGAUUACCAUUCAUGUACAUUCCAGGUUGUGUUGAGUGUUUGGUGAUACUAGAGUAAUGUUUUAUUGAAAUGUUGAAAAUCAUACGAGCCUGUCUAAAAAAUAUAAAUAUUCCAUUAAGUUAUUAUUGUGUAAAAAAAAUCCCUCAUAUUUUUAAACACAAUUUUGCCAAUAAAUGUAUAUUUUAUUCACAUCAAUAAACAUGGUAUAAUCACUGUUGUAUUAACAGUAUGUUAGUUUAAUUUCUGAAUUUAAUUUAAAAAUACUUCUUAUGGUUCAUCAGUUAGAAAUUACCAAGCAGUUGAUUAAUGUGUUUUUAAUGCCCUGUUUGAUGUUUAACUAUUAUUAAUUUGAAGGCAAUUAUAAUGUUGAUACAUUAUUAAUCUAAAGGCCAUGCUAUUUUUUGUGAUAAUGUAUAUUUUAUUGAUGUUGUAUGAGUUACAUACAAUUCUACCUUUGUAUGUUUUUCUGUUGUCUGUGAUGCUUUAUUUUAAUUCUUUUAUUUAUGAAUUCCAUAUGUUUGUGCAAUACUACAUAACAAAGCAUAAUUUAUUUUAUGUUUAAACACAAUUGUACAUAUAAAGUAUUUAUUUAAAUUAUGUUAUGUUUUUGUCCAUAGUGGAAAAUCACACACAAAAUAUGUGUGCCUGAAGUGGCAAAUUUUAGAAGUUCACAUUUUUUUUAUUUGUAUACAUCAAAAGUGUUUGGUUACACUGUAAUUAAUUGGUAUAACUCCUGUGCAGACAUGAUGUCAACAUAUUUAUUUUUUGUAAAUACUUAGUAAUAGAUUUUAAAGGUUGUGAUACAUAGGGUGUGCAUAUGUCAUUAUGUGUUCAGUUGACAUGUAAUUACUGCAUUUGUUUAUACAUAAUGAAUUAUGUAAAAUGAAUUUAUUGAUGAUUUUAAAUCAAUAUGAUUGCAUUGGCAUUGUGUGACUACAAACAAAUAGUAAUGCUCUAUAAUGAGUAAUAUUGUUUUCUGUUAUUGUUCAUGUGCUUAUUGUACUGAAACACAUGUUACAAUUUAAGCUCACCUGCUUUCCAAUGUGAAAUUAGUUUGUAUAAAGGAUUUAGUGCAAAAAAGUAUCUAAGUCGUAUUUAGAAAUGUUAAGCAGAAGCAACAUUUUCAAACAUUGCUGUAAAAACAGUUAUGUCUGUUUCAUGGUAUUGUACAAAUAUGUCAAUGAAAUUACUGUAUUAAAAUUUGUUCAUAUAAAAAAGUUUGACUUUU